UCCGCCAAGUCUGAAUUCCGACACUAAAAAAAAAUUGCCAUUUUAUCAUUAUUUAUUAAUAGUGCGAAUUGAAAAUACUGAGUGCAAAAUAAAAUAUAUAUAGGUCUGUGUUUAUUGUUUACAUUUCAUCUACUUCCGGACCCGGUGUGUCCUAAAUUUACGAAGAAAUGGUUGAAGACUAGAUCUAGAUCUAGUUCUAGACAUAGAUCUCUAGAUCUACUGAUCUAGUAGUCUAGGUCUAGAUAUUAGAAUUAGAUCUAUUCUUAGAAUCUACCUCCGAGAAUGAAAUCAGCUCAGCCUUGAGUUGGACGACAUGCUUUAACACUUUUCCCCUGGUGUGAUACAGGAGACAUUAGUAGUCUGAAUCCAUUGCUUCACAAAGCUCUGAGGAAAGUCAGAAUGCAAGCGGUCGAGAUUUGAGGAAAUUAACAACUUCAAUCACUUGAUCCAGAACAGACAUCAAAUAUUUGAAGGCAAGAGCUUCUCUGUGGAUCAUGCAGUGAACAACUAAUACAUUUGGAUUUUCUUGACGCACAAGAGUGAAGAAUCCCUUUCUAUUUCCCUGCAUGGAAGGACAGCCAUCGGUGCAAACGCUGACACAGUUUGUCUCCACUGUACUUUGAAUAGCAAAAUGUUUUCGUUCACCACUUAAAAAUCUUCGCCUUUGGUCGUAGUUGGUGGCGAUUUUAUUGUUUACCAUGGAGUUGUCUACUUUUCAAAUUUUACUGACCAAGUUUUUUACAGUGACUGAUCCAUCAGCAGUUUCCGAAGCAGUAACUGAUAUCUCAAAAAAAUAUCCCGUUACUGAUGGUGUCUAGUCACCUCAGAGGAUCAACAGGAUUUGUUCAUUGAAAGACACUUGAAGGUGUAGGCAGUUAAAGCAAAAGGACUUCUUGCAAUGUUUGUUUCAAGGACCAGACACAACAGAAUUUGACAACAUAUGUAUUGGAAGCUCAAAAUCAGAAACUGAAAUCUGCCCAUGUGGAGUGUCACCAGAGAAUGUUGACCAUCUUCUCCAAAACUGCUCUCUUUACCAAGAGGCUGUACAUGACACUGGCCCCAAAACACCCCAAUAGAAAGAAAACUAUAUGGAGAGUUCCCUGAUUUGGAAACGCUGUGAAAAUAAUCUCAUAUACUGGUCCAGUCAUCUGAAUGCUCCAAUAAAAAAAUGAGAAGAAAGAAGAUUGGAAGCAACAUGGCUAUCGAAAAGCAGAGACCAUACAAACCUCAUUAGAUGAAGAGUUUUAUUUUGUUGGUAAAGUCCUUGGUUUUGAGCCAUCAGAGAAACAUAGAAAGCUCUGUUUUGACAAUAUAUAAAGAGUGACUUUAGCUCAACUCCUCACCAAGCUUACAGUCUGUGACAUUUUUUUGGUAAAACUUUGAAUCAGAUUUAUGUGUGUAUACUUAAUUAUGUUAACUACAUUGAUCAAGAAUACUCAAUUCAUAAAAAGAAGCUGCUUUAAAGGAUUAAAGAUAACUUUGACCCUUUUGAGAAAACAAAUUGAAACACCAGAUUUUGAAUUAAUUUUGUAAUUCUUUUAUAUUUUUUUUUCUUCUGAAAGCCACAUAACGACACAAGUAUUUAUUCAAGGUUUUGAAUGUAUGGUAUACUAUUAGGUUUAGUAUUGAGUCAUUCAGUAAAUUUUGUUUUGUGGUUUUUGUAAAUUAAUAAAUGGAAGUUUAUAUAAUGUGUUAUGCUUAUAUGUAUGAUUUUUUUUUUACUGAUCUAAAGAAAGAAACUUGAGGAUUUUAAUUUUUAUUCCUUUUGAAACAUGUAAGGAAUAUUAGAACAUUGGUUGGCAACAUUAUUAGUGUAAAAAUGUAUUUCACUUGGUAGCCAAGAAUGCUUAUAACUGAGAUGACAUCACUACCUGCGGUUAACAAGGGUGCCAUGUUGUCAGCACAAUGACCAACCGCCUUUACUUUUUCCUAACUCAUAUAAUAAUAAUAAUAAUAAUAAUCUUUAUUAUCCUUAAGGAAAUUUGUCUUACAAUUUGUGCAUUACACCAAACAAAAAACAUUAUAACUAUAAGAAACCAAAAUGUACAUUCACACCAGACUCACUCGUAAUUUACAUGUGACAAAGUUUAUACCAGAUUGUUCUUAUUUAAUGAUUUGAUUGCCAGGGGAACAAAAGAGUGUUUGUGUCUGUUUCUCUUUGCUAUCGGUGUCUUGUAUCUCUUUUGUGAUGGUAAAAUCACAAAAUCCUGACACAAAGGGUGAUUCUUUAUUUCGAUGAUCUUGUUAGCUUUUUUAUAGAUGUUUGUCUCAAAACAACUGCCCAAAUGGGGUUUGUUUUUUGCCAAUGAUUUUGCCAGCAGCAUUUAGGAUUCUAUGAAGUUACCCAUUAGAGCUGGGUGGACUUGAAGGCACCAUAAAGAUCCCAAAAUUAAAAAUACCCAUCUUCACCAGGAUUUGAACCCAGGGUCCUCCUGUUUGGAAGUCAAGUGCUUUACCACUCAGCCACAUGCCUCCGUUAAAGGCUAGAUUUUGUGACAAUUAUUUUUAGGAGAGAGAAUGAUGUAUGCACAAAGUUGUAGUUUUUUUUAUUUUUAUUAAAUUUAUUUGUAUUUAA